rnacentral:tRNA from 1 species
GCUUCUAUGGCUCAGCUGGUAGAGCAACGCAUUCGUAAUGCGUGGGUCGCCGGUUCGAAUCCGGCUAGGAGCUCCA